rnacentral:piRNA from 1 species
UGAAAUGGCACUGUUGAAUUACACCAUCAUC